GAUGAACGCUGGCGGCGUGCCUAAUACAUGCAAGUCGAGCGAGCAGAUGAGAAGCUUGCUUCUCUGAUGUUAGCGGCGGACGGGUGAGUAACACGUGGGUAACCUACCUAUAAGACUGGGAUAACUCCGGGAAACCGGGGCUAAUACCGGAUAAUAUUUUGAACCGCAUGGUUCAAUAGUGAAAGACGGUUUCGGAUGUCACUUAUAGAUGGACCCGCGCCGUAUUAGCUAGUUGGUAAGGUAACGGCUUACCAAGGCGACGAUACGUAGCCGACCUGAGAGGGUGAUCGGCCACACUGGAACUGAGACACGGUCCAGACUCCUACGGGAGGCAGCAGUAGGGAAUCUUCCGCAAUGGGCGAAAGCGUGACGGAGCAACGCCGCGUGAGUGAUGAAGGUCUUCGGAUCGUAAAACUCUGUUGUUAGGGAAGAACAAAUUUGUUAGUAACUGAACAAGUCUUGACGGUACCUAACCAGAAAGCCACGGCUAACUACGUGCCAGCCGCCGCAGUAA
rnacentral:rRNA from 1 species